CCUUUGGUUGUUGCCGGGUUUUUAGGAGGGGGACUAUGGCUUUAGCAGGGAGGGAAGUUGGAGGCAAUACCAGGUCGUGGAUGCCCUAAGAGUUUUGGGGCCGCACGGGCGCUCCACUGCAGAAGCCAGGAAGUUUCACCUUGGCCGGAAGGUCCGGGUAAUCUUGUGAAACUCUGUCGUGCUGGGGAUAGAGCAUUGCAAUUAUUGCUCUUCAACGAGGAAUCCCUAGUAAGCGCGAAGUCAUCAGGCUUCGGCGGUUGAUU
rnacentral:rRNA from 1 species